CGCGGUGCUUUAGUACCGUCAGCCUCGUCGUUUCGCGCGGAACUUGGACGCUUGGAAUAGGUUCGUCACGCGCUGUAAAAGUUUUUCGCCGCACGCUGAAAUCGGAACGCGGUUGGUGACCGUGUAAUAGACAGACCGUGGUGUUUGUCGCUGCCUCCCGUAGCUGUUCGCAAGACCUUUCGGAAGUACGUUUCACAAUUCUUGAUGGAAGUGGAUACGGAGAACGUCAGGAUGGAUAAAACGGACAUCAACAGCAACGAUAACGAUGAGGCGCCCACCGUCGAAGAGAGUUACGAGAUCACCACUACCAGGCGCAAAACUAUUCGCACCAGCUAUAAGAUUCAGGAGACUUCCUCGUCAACCAAAACAACCACCAUGACGACAGCAGCCAAGCUAUAUGGCAAGGAUCUAAGCGAGUAUGAUGACAUUGAUGUGGAUCAAUUGUUGGCUGAGCUCACACCGGAGGAACUAAAUAUGCUGGCCAAGGAAGUGGACCCUGAUGAUAGCUUUAUGCCACCUUCGCAGCGUUGCAGUUAUGAAUGUAACAAGAGUCCUACAGGGCCGCUGAAUCGAAAGAAACUCAUUGAACAUAUCAACAAGCAAGCUUUAGAAACACCUGAUAUUCCAGAGUUGAAACCAUAUGUACCUGGUGUAGUUAGAGGAAAAAAAUGGAUACCUCCACCACAAGAAACCAUAAAAGAAAAGGAAGCAGAUGAACAGAUUGCGAUAGAUCUUGGGGAGGAAUACGAACAAGCGCUUUCAGCCGCUACCCAAGAAGAAAUCAUUGAUCUUGCUGCUAUUCUUGGUUUCCAUUCCAUGAUGAAUCAAGAUCAGUAUCACGCAUCUCUAUUGAAUUCUGGACAACCGGUCGGACUCGGCUGGGAUGGAGUAACGAAAGCUAGUCAACCGAAAGUUUAUCCUAUGGAACCGCCCAAUGAUACGGACGUCGACGCCACUAUUAAACAAGUGCGGGACGAUGACUCCACUCUGACUGACUUAAACUGGAACAAUAUUAAAAAUAUUUCGGACGAAAAAUUCGUACAAUUGUUUGAAGGAUUAGAAAUGAACACACAUCUUGAAUCACUAAGUUUAACUAAUGUUGGACUCAACGAUAAAACUGCACAACGGCUGGCCGAUGCUUUAGAGAAGAAUUCGACACUCAAAGUACUCAACGUGGAGACAAAUUUCAUAAGCCCACCUGUGAUAGUAAGGCUGAUCAGAUCUCUUCUUAAGACAAAAUCCAUUGAAGAAUUUCGAUGUUCCAAUCAGAGAUCGCAAGUACUAGGUAACAAGAUCGAAAUGGAAAUCACACAAUUGGUAGAACAAAAUCCAACGUUGCUGCGACUUGGAUUACAUCUGGAGUUCAAUGAUGCUAGACAUCGCGUGGCUGCACAUUUGCAACGCAACAUUGAUAGGAUCCGUCGUGUGGAGGCUCAAGCUAAGUUUCUAGCGAUUUCUACUGGCCCUUCAACUUUCAAGGUUGUUCCCGCAGAUGACUUAAAAAAUAGAGCGUAGCGCUAUUGCAGCGCAUACGGCAGUCCCGGCUCGGGGUGGCAACAUCUUAACGCGAAGUGGCGUUCGCCUAGAUCGCCUGCGCCGCAUGGGAAGAGCUUCCCGCAAUUAUACCAUCGGCUGGGCCAUACAUUGAUGAUGAUCGCCACGAUGAUGGCAACGACGAUGACGAAGACGAUAAUACGCCGAUGAUCGCGCGUGAGUUUCUCGCUGCGUCUCGAAGCACCGUAAAAUGGUCUGUACACGUACAUAUAUGGUAUCAUACCACCCGCAGUGGAUCUUUAGAUUCCUUCGGGAAUCUUCGUAUGCUUUGAAUCCUUUGGAUCUUGAAAUUAACGCGAACGUUAUUCGAAACGAGAUGCUCGAUUACGGAGGAGAAAUCAGAAGCUUCGCAUAAUGCGAUAAAUUAAUUUAUGCGCGUGAAUGUCUUUCGUCUUUGUUGCUCUAAAAAAAAAAAUACAUAUAAAUUUAUAUAAAUAUGUAGACCUGCACUAAAACUAUGUCGCGCGAAAGAUACUCUAAUGACGAUGUAAAACAAAUUUAAAUCGUUAUAUGGAUGUGACAUGUGACACACAUACACACGGUAUUGUUGAUUUAUAUAAUAUAUAAUAAGACGAAUAUAUAUUGUCUUGUAACUGUUAAGUCAUUGAAGAUGACUCGCGGUGGAAAAUGAUGCGAAGGGAGCCGGGAUAACUUUUUUAUCGUAAUGCGCACCAAGAUUUCCGUUCAUCGCUUUAACGUGGCUAUCUAACUGGAUUAUUUAAAUAUUUAUACACGAAAGAAAAGUUCUCUUUUAAUUAAUUCGACCAAACUUUUGCUCGAGUGCAUCGCUGAACGAUCGGGUACAAACUAUAUUCUGUGUUCAUCUUUUUUUUUUUUUUUUUUUUUUUUUUAAGAGAAUCUUAUUAUUUCACGUUCUAUCUCGUUGUUACUAGCUACUGCCUGGUCAUUGUAAAACGAUUCAUCGUCUUUUAUGCUUUAGAAAGCAAAUAAUUAUUCAAUUAAUAGUUCAAUUAAUAGUUUUAAUACGUCACUAUGUAAUUGAAAUGUAUCUAUGUAUCGAAAAAUUUAUAAAUAUAAGAAAUUAGGAUUUUUUUUCUCCAAAAAUUAAUCGAAUCGAUAUAAUUUUUAAUGUAGAAUGAUUAUUUCUCUAAUUGUUUUCACAUUGCAUUAUUUAAGUACCAAUUGUUGUAUUUUAAUCAACUUUGUGCACAAUGUGUAAACAUCAUGACAAUGCAUUGAAAUAGAUUAAUUAGCUGCGAACACACGCGCAAAUUUUUCAUUAAAAAUAAAUAUCGAACGCGAUACCACCGACCCGAUCGUUCCGCUCGGUAUAAUAAUGUCACUGUAAUAUUCGCUAUAAGGUACUAACUCGUUGUUUAAAUUAAUGAUUAAUUUAGUUAUACAUAUAUAUGUAAUCAAUCUGUACAUAUUGUCUUCAAUGUCGUUUCUAAUCGAUCGAUGUAACCUACGUGUUAUAACGAAAGAGGGAAUGGAUUAUUAUCGCGUAAGAGAGAGGGUGGCAUAGUUGUCUCUGUGUAUGCAUGUCCGUGUGGAUGAGAGGGAGAAAAAGGAAUCGGGAGUGCGUGAGUGACGAUAAUUAUACGGUUUUACCAAGAUAGAUCACGCGCCGAUUGGCAUAUCGCUGUAUACUUGAGCUUGUUAAAUGCAUGGAAGUACGCGGAUCAAAAAUACUUUUGCACUGUACUUGUUCGUUUAUGAGUAGAAUUGUAGAAAAUGUAUCGUACAGAUGUAAAAUAUAUUAAUUUGACGUAUUAAAUUCUUAUGUAAUCUACAAAUCUCUCUCGAGUAUUUUUGCAUUUUUUGGACGUUACGAAUUUUUACGGAUCUAUCGGUUCUCUUCGGAUUCUUUUUAAAGCCGCGCCUAAAAAGAUUUUUAAACAUUUUUCAAUAAAUGACGUGCAAAGUUCUCUUUUGAAAAGCGUAGGUGGACUCGUGUAGUUGACAAGGGUAAGAGAAAUCGAUAACGAAAUAGUAUUGUAAUCAUAUUUGUCUCGCUCGCCUUCCGAAUGCAUUCUUGAUUGUUGUAAACACAUUCGCGUAUCUAUUUACUCUGUCACACGGAACACUCAUUACAUUACGUACACAACAUACCGAAACUCAAAUGCACGCGCACGAUCAAAGCCUUGUUGCUAAGCCUUAUCUUGUAACACGAGGUUUAAAUAAACUGCUGAGAAAAAGACA
rnacentral:misc_RNA from 1 species